rnacentral:rRNA from 1 species
CCUACGGGAGGCUGCAGUAGGGAAUAUUGCUCAAUGGGGGAAACCCUGAAGCAGCAACGCCGCGUGGAGGAUGAAGGUUUUCGGAUUGUAAACUCCUUUUUUUAGAGAAGAUAAUGACGGUAUCUAACGAAUAAGCACCGGCUAACUCCGUGCCAGCAGCCGCGGUAAUACGGCGGGUGCAAGCGUUACUCGGAAUCACUGGGCGUAAAGAGCGCGUAGGCGGGAUAGCAAGUCAGAUGUGAAAUCCUAUGGCUUAACCAUAGAACUGCAUUUGAAACUGUUAGUCUAGAGUAUGGGAGAGGUAGGUGGAAUUCUUGGUGUAGGGGUAAAAUCCGUAGAGAUCAAGAGGAAUACUCAUUGCGAAGGCGACCUGCUGGAACAUAACUGACGCUGAUGCGCGAAAGCGUGGGGAGCAAACAGGAUUAGAUACCCGUGUAGUC